UUUCCGUAGGUGAACCUGCGGAAGGAUCAUUACCGAGUUGACUCGAGCUCCGGCUCGACUCUCCCACCCUAUGUGUACCUACCUCUGUUGCUUUGGCGGGCCGCGGUCCUCCGCACCGGCCCCCCUUCGGGGGGCUGGCCAGCGCCCGCCAGAGGACCACAAAACUCCAGUCAGCAAACGUCGCAGUCUGAAAAACAAGUUAAUAAACUAAAACUUUCAACAACGGAUCUCUUGGUUCUGGCAUCGAUGAAGAACGCAGCGAAAUGCGAUAAGUAAUGUGAAUUGCAGAAUUCAGUGAAUCAUCGAAUCUUUGAACGCACAUUGCGCCCCUUGGUAUUCCGAGGGGCAUGCCUGUUCGAGCGUCAUUUCAACCCUCAAGCUCUGCUUGGUAUUGGGCUCCGUCCUCCACGGACGCGCCUCGAAGACCUCGGCGGUGGCGUCUUGCCUCGAGCGUAGUAGAAAACACCUCGCUUUGGAGCGCACGGCGUCGCCCGCCGGACGAACCUUUGAAUUUUUCUCAAGGUUGACCUCGGAUCAGGUAGGGAUACCCGCUGAACUUAA
rnacentral:rRNA from 1 species